rnacentral:rRNA from 1 species
GUCGAGCGCCCCGCAAGGGGAGCGGCAGACGGGUGAGUAACGCGUGGGAACAUACCCUCCGGUUCGGAAUAGCUCAGGGAAACUUGGAUUAAUACCGGAUACGGCCCAGCGGCGAAAGAUUCAUCGCCGGAGGAUUGGCCCGCGUCUGAUUAGCUAGUUGGUGGGGUAAUGGCCCACCAAGGCGACGAUCAGUAGCUGGUCUGAGAGGAUGAUCAGCCACAUUGGGACUGAGACACGGCCCAAACUCCUACGGGAGGCAGCAGUGGGGAAUAUUGGACAAUGGGCGCAAGCCUGAUCCAGCCAUGCCGCGUGAGUGAUGACGGCCUUAGGGUUGUAAAGCUCUUUCGCUAGGGACGAUAAUGACGGUACCUAGACAAGAAGCCCCGGCUAACUUCGUGCCAGCAGCCGCGGUAAUACGAAGGGGGCUAGCGUUGUUCGGAAUUACUGGGCGUAAAGCGCGUGUAGGCGGGCGUUUAAGUCAGGGGUGAAAUGCCAAGGCUCAACCUUGGAACUGCCUUUGAUACUGGACGCCUCGAGUCCGGGAGAGGUGAGUGGAACUGCGAGUGUAGAGGUGAAAUUCGUAGAUAUUCGCAAGAACACCAGUGGCGAAGGCGGCUCACUGGCCCGGAACUGACGCUGAGACGCGAAAGCGUGGGGAGCAAACAGGAUUAGAUACCCUGGUAGUCCACGCUGU